rnacentral:rRNA from 1 species
UACGUAGGGCGCAAGCGUUAUCCGGAAUUAUUGGGCGUAAAGAGCUCGUAGGCGGUUUGUCGCGUCUGCCGUGAAAACCCGGGGCUCAACUCCGGGCUUGCGGGCGAUACGGGCAGGCUAGAGUUCGGUAGGGGAGACUGGAAUUCCUGGUGUAGCGGUGAAAUGCGCAGAUAUCAGGAGGAACACCAAUGGCGAAGGCAGCUCGCUGGAACGGUACUGACGCUGAGGCGCGAAAGCGUGGGGAGCAAACAGG